rnacentral:rRNA from 1 species
GACGAACGCUGGCGGCGUGCUUAACACAUGCAAGUCGAACGGAAAGGCCCUGCUUUUGUGGGGUGCUCGAGUGGCGAACGGGUGAGUAACACGUGAGUAACCUGCCCUUGACUUUGGGAUAACUUCAGGAAACUGGGGCUAAUACCGGAUAGGAGCUCCUGCUGCAUGGUGGGGGUUGGAAAGUUUCGGCGGUUGGGGAUGGACUCGCGGCUUAUCAGCUUGUUGGUGGGGUAGUGGCUUACCAAGGCUUUGACGGGUAGCCGGCCUGAGAGGGUGACCGGCCACAUUGGGACUGAGAUACGGCGCAGACUCCUACGGGAGGCAGCAGUGGGGAAUAUUGCACAAUGGGCGGAAGCCUGAUGCAGCAACGCCGCGUGCGGGAUGACGGCCUUCGGGUUGUAAACCGCUUUCGCCUGUGGCGAAGCGUGAGUGACGGUAAUGGGUAAAGAAGCACCGGCUAACUACGUG